AGGUCCCGCCUGCCCUGUGACUAAGUUUAACGGCCGCGGUACCUUAACCGUGCAAAGGUAGCACAAUCAAUUGUUCUCUAAAUAAGGACUAGUAUGAAUGGCACCACGAGGGCUCAACUGUCUCCCCAGUCUAAUCAAUGAAACUGAUCUUCUCGUGAAGAAGCGAGAAUUAUAAUAUAAGACGAGAAGACCCCAUGGAGCUUUAAACCCACCACCACCUACUUACAAUAUGCCCCUACACCCAGUAAGACUGUUCUUGGUGGUUUUCAACUGGGGUGAUUCUGGAGUAAAAUAUAUCCUCCAGGCUGAACGGACAAACCACCCUUAUUUAAGAACGACACCUCAAAAAAUCAAAAACUUGACACCCUUUGACCCAUAUUUUGACCAGCGAACCAAGUUACCCUGGGGAUAACAGCGCAAUCCAUUUUAAGAGCCCCUAUCGACAAAUGGGUUUACGACCUCGAUGUUGGAUCGGGAUAUCCUAGCAGCGCAGCCGUUGCUAAAGGUUUGUUUGUUCAACAAUUU
rnacentral:rRNA from 1 species